rnacentral:rRNA from 1 species
CCUACGGGAGGCAGCAGUAUGGAAUUUUCGUCAAUGGGCGCAAGCCUGAACGAGCGAUGCCGCGUGAGUGAAGAAGGCCUUCGGGUCGUAAAGCUCUGUUUCGGGGGAAAAAAGGCAGCAUCAGGAAAUGGGUGCUGCCUGAUGGUCCCCCGCCAGAAAGUCACGGCUAACUACUUGCCAGCAGCCGCGGUAAUACUUAGGUGGCGAGCGUUAUCCGGAAUGAUUUGGCGUAAAGGGUGCGCAGGCGGUCCUGCAAGUCUGGAGUGAAACGCAUGAGUUCAACUCAUGCAUUGCUUUGGAAACUGGCGGACGGGAGAGCAGGAGAGGGCGGUGGAACUCCAUGGGUAGCGGUAAAAUGCGUAGAUAGAUGGAAGAACACCAGUGGCGAAGGCGGCCGCCUGGCCUGUUGCUGACGCUGAGGCACGAAAGCGUGGGGAGCAAAUAGGAUUAGAUACCCUUGUAGUC